AUUGAACGCUGGCGGCAUGCCUUACACAUGCGAGUCGAACGGUAACGCGGGGCAACCUGGCGACGAGUGGCGAACGGGUGAGUAAUGCAUCGGAACGUGCCCAGUAGUGGGGGAUAGCUCGGCGAAAGCCGGAUUAAUACCGCAUACGACCUACGGGUGAAAGCGGGGGACCGUAAGGCCUCGCGCUAUUGGAGCGGCCGAUGUCAGAUUAGGUUGUUGGUGGGGUAAAGGCCUACCAAGCAGACGAUCCGUAGCUGGUCUGAGAGGACGACCAGCCACACUGGGACUGAGACACGGCCCAGACUCCUACGGGAGGCAGCAGUGGGGAAUUUUGGACAAUGGGGGCAACCCUGAUCCAGCCAUGCCGCGUGAGGGAAGAAGGCCUUCGGGUUGUAAACCGCUUUUGUCAGGGAAGAAACGCUUCGAGCUAAUACCUCGAGGUAAUGACGGGACCUGAAGAAUAAGCACCGGCUAACUACGUGCCAGCAGCCGCCGUAAGAC
rnacentral:rRNA from 1 species